rnacentral:rRNA from 1 species
GUUACGGCGGCCACAGCGACAGGGAAACGCCCGGUCCCAUCCCGAACCCGGAAGCUAAGCCUGUCAGCGCCGAUGGUACUGCCCUUUUCGGGUGGAAGAGUAGGACACCGCCGAACAC